UACGUAGGGGGCAAGCGUUGUCCGGAAUCAUUGGGCGUAAAGCGCGUGUAGGCGGCUGGGUAAGUCCGCUCUGAAAGCCCGGGGCUCAACCCCGGGAGGCGGGUGGAUACUGCUCAGCUCGAGUCCGGAAGAGGAGUGUGGAAUUCCGUGGUGUAGCGGUGAAAUGCGCAGAUAUCAGGAGGAACACCAAUGGCGAAGGCAGCACUCUGGGACGGUACCUGACGCUGAGACGCGAAAGCGUGGGGAGCAACAGG
rnacentral:rRNA from 1 species